UACGGGGGGGGCAAGCGUUGUUCGGAAUUACUGGGCGUAAAGGGCUCGUAGGUGGCCAACUAAGUCAGACGUGAAAUCCCUCGGCUUAACCGGGGAACUGCGUCUGAUACUGGAUGGCUUGAGUUCGGGAGAGGGAUGCGGAAUUCCUGGUGUAGCGGUGAAAUGCGCAGAUAUCAGGAGGAACACCGAUUGCGAAGGCAGCUCGCUGGGACGUUACUGACGCUGAGACGCGAAAGCGUGGGGAGCAAACAGG
rnacentral:rRNA from 1 species